UACGUAGGGUGCAAGCGUUGUCCGGAAUUAUUGGGCGUAAAGAGCUCGUAGGCGGUCUGUCGCGUCUGCUGUGAAAUCCUAGGGCUUAACCCUGGGCUUGCAGUGGAUACGGGCAGACUAGAGGUAGGUAGGGGAGAAUGGAAUUCCUGGUGUAGCGGUGAAAUGCGCAGAUAUCAGGAGGAACACCGGUGGCGAAGGCGGUUCUCUGGGCCUUACCUGACACUGAGGAGCGAAAGCGUGGGGAGCGAACAGG
rnacentral:rRNA from 1 species